ensembl:lncRNA
GAAAGAAAGGUUCCUGAAUAAACUGCUUUGAGAAGAACUUCGUGGUGUCUCUCCUAUCUGCAGGACGGAGACGGAGACGACACCGGUGCCAUACAGACAGAAUCUCAAACUGUAGCUGAGAUUGGCUUGGCUUGGAACACGUGUGUAGUUCAUGCUGGCAUCAGACUUAUGGCAAUUCUCCUGCUUCAGCCUCCUACUCAGGAGCCUACCAGGAGGCUGAGACUUCCUGCAAGAGAGAGAGGAGAGAUGCACUGUUCAUUCCGCUGGAGCUGUGCAAAGACCAGAGCCACCUGUCUUUUCCUGAUAGUGGGAGCUGGGCCCAAGUGUGGGCUGCUCCUACUAGAGGAACCACAAG